UACGUAGGGUGCAAGCGUUGUCCGGAAUUAUUGGGCGUAAAGAGCUCGUAGGCGGUCUGUCGCGUCUGCUGUGAAAACUCAGGGCUCAACCCUGGGCGUGCAGUGGGUACGGGCAGACUGGAGUGCAGUAGGGGAGACUGGAAUUCCUGGUGUAGCGGUGAAAUGCGCAGAUAUCAGGAGGAACACCGGUGGCGAAGGCGGGUCUCUGGGCUGUUACUGACGCUGAGGAGCGAAAGCGUGGGGAGCGAACAGG
rnacentral:rRNA from 1 species